rnacentral:tRNA from 1 species
AAAAAAGAAGCGAUUUAUUGCACUCAGUUUCGGCCUGAUUUUAGGUAUAACCCUUUUUUA